UACGAAGGGUGCAAGCGUUAAUCGGAAUUACUGGGCGUAAAGCGUGCGUAGGUGGUUGAUUAAGUUAUCUGUGAAAUCCCUGGGCUUAACCUGGGCAGGUCAGAUGAUACUGGUUGACUCGAGUAUGGGAGAGGGUAGUGGAAUUUCCGGUGUAGCGGUGAAAUGCGUAGAGAUCGGAAGGAACACCAGUGGCGAAGGCGGCUACCUGGCCUAAUACUGACACUGAGGCACGAAAGCGUGGGGAGCAAACAGG
rnacentral:rRNA from 1 species